rnacentral:rRNA from 1 species
AUUGAACGCUGGCGGCAGGCCUAACACCAGCAAGUCGAACGAGGGGCAGCCGGGUAAGUAAUGUCUGGGCAACUGACAGGAGGAGGGGGAUAACUACUGGAAACGGUAGCUACUACCGCAUACCAUCGGAUGUGCCCCGAUGGGAUUAGCUAGUAGGGGGGGUAACGGCGCACCUAGGCGACGAUCCCUAGCUGGUCUGAGAGGAUGAACAGCCACACUGGAACUGAGACACGGUCCAGACUCCUACGGGAGGCAGCAGUGGGGAAUAUUGCACAAUGGGCGCAAGCCUGAUGCAGCCAUGCCGCGUGUAUGAAGAAGGCCUUCGGGUUGUAAAGUACUUUCAGCGAGGAGGCGUUACUCGCAGAAGAAGCACCGGCUAACUCCGUGCCAGCAGCCGCGGUAAUAC